GACGAACGCUGGCGGCGUACUUAACACAUGCAAGUCGAACGGAAAGGCCCUGCUUUUGUGGGGUGCUCGAGUGGCGAACGGGUGAGUAACACGUGAGUAACCUGCCCUUGACUUUGGGAUAACUUCAGGAAACUGGGGCUAAUACCGGAUAGGAGCUCCUGCUGCAUUGUGGGGGUUGGAAAUUUUCGGCGGUUGGGGAUGGACUCGCGGCUUAUCAGCUUGUUGGUGGGGUAGUGGCUUACCAAGGCUUUGACGGGUAGCCGGCCUGAGAGGGUGAACGGCGACAUUGGGACUGAGAUACGGCCCAGAGUCCUACGGGAGGCAGCAGUGGGGAAUAUGGCACAAUGGGAGGAAGCCUGAUGAAGCAACGCUGCGUGCGGGAUGACGGCCUUCGGGUUGUAAACCGCUUUCGCCUGUGACGAAGCGUGAGUGACGGUAAUGGGUAAAGAAGCACCGGCUAACUACGUG
rnacentral:rRNA from 1 species